GGAGAGGUGCCCGAGAGGCUUAAGGGAGCCGUCUUGAAAACGGCCGUGGCUCAACACCACCGUGGGUUCGAAUCCCACCCUCUCCGCCA
rnacentral:tRNA from 2 species